rnacentral:lncRNA from 1 species
UGGCUGACCAAGGCUUGGGCAUGUGGAUUAAGGAAGUAGAGGAGGAAAGGGGCAGCACUCAAAAGAUUCAAUGAAUUCUAUUGUUCUCUUUCCACGCCCAAGAGGACCCCUCCUUUUAUAGAUGGUGGCCAAGAGAAUUAAAUAGUGUUCAACUAAAUUUGAACUCUUAUCUAAUAAGAACUUCAACUUCAAACUGAACUUAUCUAAUCCC